rnacentral:rRNA from 1 species
GGGGGAUCAGGGUUCGAUUCCGGAGAGGGAGCCUGAGAAACGGCUACCACAUCUAAGGAAGGCAGCAGGCGCGCAAAUUACCCAAUCCAGACUUUGGGAGGUAGUGACGAGAAAUACCGGAGUAGAUCAUCUAAUGAUUCACUAUCGGAAUGAACGUAAUCUAAUACCUUCGAUGAGUAGCUACUGGAGGGCAAGUCUGGUGCCAGCAGCCGCGGUAAUUCCAGCUCCAGUAGUGUAUAUCAAAAUUGUUGCGGUUAAAGCGCUCGUAGUUGGAUUACAAAAGCUCUAAAAUAAUCAAGUCCUAUUAUUUAAUAAAUGGUUUGAUUGUUAUGGGGUUUUUUUCUUGUGAGAUCCAUAUGUGAGAUUAAAUUCUUGUGUAUGGUCACUUGCAAAAUGUGCCUUGAAUAAAGCACAGUGCUCAAAGCAGGCUUAUAAGCUUGAAUGUAAUAGCAUGGAACGAUUAUUGUUGACCUAAUCAACUGUUGGUUGUUGAAAUACCAAUAUGGUCUAGAUUAAAAGGAACAUUUGAGGGCGUUAGUACUUGGUGGCGAGGGGUGAAAUUCUUAGACCCAUCAAAGACUAACUAAUGCGAAAGCAUUCGCCAAGAGUGUUUUCAUUAAUCAAGAACGAAAGUUAGAGGUUCGAAGACGAUCAGAUACCGUCCUAGUUCUAUACAGUAAACUAUGCCAACAUGGGAUCAGUCCGGAACUAUCCAGGUUGGGCCCUCAGAGAAAUCUAGUGUUUAGGUCCCUGGGGGAGUGCACACGCAAGUGAGAAACUUGAAGAAAUUGACGGAAUGGCACCACCAGGAGUGGAGCCUGCGGCUUAAUUUGACUCAACACGGGGAAACUCACCAGGUCCAGACAUUGAUAGGAUUGACAGACUGAGAGAUCUUUCAUGAUACGAUGAUUGGUGGUGCAUGGCCGUUCUUAGUUGGUGGAGUGAUCUGUCAGGUUAAUUCCGGUAACGAGCGAGACCACGGUCUUUAAUUGAUUACUAAUAUAUAUUAAUGUCAUAUUAAAUCUUAAAGAGACAACCGGAUUUAAGCCGGGGGAAGCGUGGCAAUAACAGGUCUGUGAUGCCCUUCGAUGUUCUGGGCUGCACGUGCGCUACAAUGGUAGUAACAACAAGUUCCUGCUCUGAGAUGAGUGGGUAAUCUUUAAAAUUACUAUCUUGCUUUGGAUUGAGCCUUGUAAUAAUUGCUCAUGAAAGAGGAAUUCCUCGUAAGCGCGAGUCAUCAACUCGUGUUGAAUACGUCUCUGCCCUUUGUACACACCGCCCGUCGCUACUACCGACUGGAUGAUACUUCGAAGUGUUAGGACUGGUUGUUCUGCAAAGAA